AGCUGCCAACUUGGCUGAUUGCCAGUCGCUGUGAGACAGGCAAACAAAUGCGCCUUACUUCGCCUUGCUAGCUGCAAUCGUUCCAUGCAUUUUUAAUAGACGCUCUGCCAUGAAAGAAAAACAGCAAGAAGGCGAAAAAAAGAACGAAAAUGAAAUAGACGAAAAGAAAAGCGAGCGAAAAAAAAUGAGAAUGAAGCGAAGAAAAAAAGCAUAUUUGCCAGCACGGCGUAUACGUAAUUUUCGCAUAUUGCGUAUACGUUGCAGCGCGUGGCAAGAAAUGCAACGAAUUUCACACUCACACACAUAGACACACUCGAGGCUUAUGUAAGCGGAGAGAGCGAAUGUGUGUGUGUGUGUGUGUGUGGCAACAAUGGCGACGUCGUCAUCGUCAUCGUAAUGUGCACCGGAAACGCUUGAAGUACAUUCACAUGCCAGAGCAACAACAACAAAGAAAGGAAUCUUCUUGGGAUGAACAGAAGCAAGGAAGUUGUCUACAGCUUCGACUAUAUAUAUUUAUAUAUAACACACUCUUUCUCUAUUUCUCUCUCUCUUUCCCUCCCUGUCUUUCUCUCUGUGUGUGGCAAGGACAACAGACGCCAAUGCACUCAGCAGCAACAGCAGCUAAGUGCGCUGCCCGUGGCAAAAAUUGCAGCCAGCUCAUGACUUUGCAACUACACACAACUCGUUGCAGACUGAUGGGGCAUGUGGCAUGUGGCACGGUUGUUGCGAUUUCCGGGGCCAACUUAAUGCUCUUGUGGCUUUAAACAUCGAUGCAUCAAUGCUGCAUCAUAUUUGAAAUAUCACUAAUGCCCAGCAUCGAUUCUAGUUUUCCUCCCGAUUUGAUGAAGUGACAAACAGCAAAAUGAAGAACGAACAUUGCAAUAAAGCUGACAAAAGCAAAUAGUAACAGGCCACCCACUUCUCUAGCAACUUUCUCUUUACCUUUUACGCUUUUGCUGCCCUUUCUUUUGCCACUGCCAAUUGUCGCUCAACCCACGGCGACAACGCGACGGCUGCUGUUAAUAUGACAAAAAGCAGCAGCAGAAGAAACGCAAAAGUUUCCUCUUUGCACAAGAAGCUUGCCCCCGAAAUGCAGACAAACUUUCUGUCCGGGUAUUGCAACGCUUUGCUCCAUGUAAAGGACCCCAAACGCAGCAGCAGCAACAACAACAACAACAAUAAGGACAACUCGACAAGAAAGCCAGACAAAUUUAAAGGCAAAACCAGAAAGCAGCUUCAACGACAAAAGUUUUUCUCUUUCUGUUUUCUUCGUUUUUUUUUUGUAUUUUUGCCAAAGAAACUAAAUGAAAUUUUCAUGCUGCAUGCAAAAGGCAAUGAAGAAAACUUGAAAAUGGCAUCGCAUCCUUUACCACUGGCAUAAGUUUAUAUACCUUUCUUUAUAUAUACAUAUAUAGAAGUAUCUCUACUCAUACCUUGUGCCAAGUCAAAGUUUAUAUAAUGCUCGGUCAGAGUCACUUUUCGUCUACUUAGAGAAAAACUAAUUUUUCACAUUCUCGUUUUUUUAUUUUUUCUUUGUUGAGCAACGUUGCGUUUUGCUAAUUUUCCCAUUAUGUUCUUAAGUGCAUUAAAGUUUUAGCGUAAUUAGACGACAACAAAUUUAACAUAAUAAUAAAGUUUUAUUUAAUGGCAAAUUUAUAUAUCAUUGUGUGAGGAUAACCAACAAUUU